CGGAUAAACAGAGACGGUGGUGUGGUGCAUACCUGCAAGUACCCGCACCACUCUGGAACAACUUCUCAAGCUGGCACUCCACUCCACAUCAAGUAUCUGCCUUUGGCAGGAAAGAUCCUGUCUAGGCUCGUGCAUUGCAUUCUAUUGUUAGUUCUCAUUAGCUCCUCAGUCUCCAGGUCUCUGAUGACCCUGAAACCUUUGAAGAGUACUGGUCAUUAUUGUGUAACAAUGUCCUUCAAUUGGGGUUUGUCUGAUGAGUUCUCGAGAAAAAAAAAGAAGUCACCCAUUUUCACGACACCAGAGCCAAGAUGUGUAUCCUCCUGUGUGUCUGUUUUCACACCUUAUUUGUAAUGUUAACCAUAACCACUUGGCUAAGGAGGUGUCUGUCAGGUUUCUCUAAAGUUAUUGUCUUUUAAAUAAACAUCUUGAGAGGUA